UUGCUUCGGCAGCACUUAUACUAAAAUUGGAACAAUACAGAGAAAAUUAGCAUGGCCCCUGCACAAGGAUGACAAGCAAAUUCGUGAAGCAUUCCAUAUUUUA